rnacentral:rRNA from 1 species
UACGAAGGGGCUAGCGUUGCUCGGAAUCACUGGGCGUAAAGGGUGCGUAGGCGGGUUUUUAAGUCAGGGUGAAAUCCUGGAGCUCAACUCCAGAACUGCCUUUGAUACUGAAGAUCUUGAGUUCGGGAGAGGUGAGUGGAACUGCGAGUGUAGAGGUGAAAUUCGUAGAUAUUCGCAAGAACACCAGUGGCGAAGGCGGCUCACUGGCCCGAUACUGACGCUGAGGCACGAAAAGCGUGGGGGAGCAAACAGG